CCCGAAACACGAACCAAGGAGUCUAUCUAGUAUGCAAGUAAAUGAGUAUAUGAAACUUAUUUGCAGAAAAAACUUGACUGUUAUGGGACUACGAGUAGCAUUUCGGUGCUGCUCCUCCAUCCCGGGGUAUUUUCAUCAAUAUAUGGCAACAUAUAGAAAAUAUACCAUGAGCAUACUGGAUAUGACCCGAAAGAUGGUGAACUAUGCCUGAUCAGGUUGAAGUCAGGGGAAACCCUGAUGGAGGACCGAAGCAAUUCUGACGUGCAAAUCGAUUGUCAGAAUUGGGCAUAGGGGCGAAAGACCAAUCGAACCAUCUAGUAGCUGGUUCCUUCCGAAGUUUCCCUCAGGAUAGCUGGAGCAUAGAAAUAUCUUUUUCUAACUCAUACCUGGUAAAGCGAAUGAUUAGAGGCCUUAGGAACGAAAUGUUCUUAACCUAUUCUCAAACUUUAAAUGGGUAUGUAAGCUAACAUACUUGAUUGAUGUUGGCCUGGUGGUGAACGCAAGUUCAUCUGUAAGAUUGUAUGCGCCCAGUGGGCCAAGUUUUGGUAAGCAGAACUGGUGCUGCGGGAUGAACCGAACGCAUUGUUAAGGCGCCCAAAUAAACGACGCAUCAUCGAUACCAUGAAAGGUGUUGAUUGCUGAAGACAGCAGACGUAUAGUC
rnacentral:rRNA from 1 species